ACGAACGCUGGCGGCGUGCUUAACACAUGCCAGUCGCACGGAAAGGCCCUGCUUUUGUGGGGUGCUCGAGUGGCGAACGGGUGAGUAACACGUGAGUAACCUGCCCUUGACUUUGGGAUAACUUCAGGAAACUGGGGCUAAUACCGGAUAGGAGCUCCUGCUGCAUGGUGGGGGUUGGAAAGUUUCGGCGGUUGGGGAUGGACUCGCGGCUUAUCAGCUUGUUGGUGGGGUAGUGGCUUACCGAGGCUUUGACGGGUAGCCGGCCUGAGAGGGUGACCGGCCACAUUGGGACUGAGAUACGGCCCAGACUCCUACGGGAGGCAGCAGUGGGGAAUAUUGCACAAUGGGCGGAAGCCUGAUGCAGCAACGCCGCGUGCGGGAUGACGGCCUUCGGGUUGUAAACCGCUUUCGCCUGUGACGAAGCGUGAGUGACGGUAAUGGGUAAAGAAGCACCGGCUAACUACGUG
rnacentral:rRNA from 1 species